rnacentral:lncRNA from 1 species
CCCUAGUGGCUUAUUGGGGAGCAUUAUGCCUCCACACCGCUCCAACGGAGACGUACUUCCUGUCAAAGGGAAGGAACUUCGGUAACACAUCCUCGUCUUCAUUGGUUCCACUUGUGGUUAUCUCUAACCUUUACUUCGUCUAUGCUUAUGUUGUUGUCUAUCUCUUACUUGUCUUAGUUGUUCUUGUUGUUAGCUUCAUCUAGGUUCACCUCAUU